CGAUAAAGAGUGUGAGAAACACUCUCGCCGAAAGCCCAAGGGUUCCUGCGCAAGGUUAAUCCACGCAGGGUUAGUCGGCCCCUAAGACGAGGGCGAAAGCCGUAGUCGAUGGGAACACGGUUAAUAUUCCGUGACCUGAUGGUAGUGACGGAUGGUGUAAAUUGUAAAUGCUUAUCGGAUUGCGUUUGCAGUGAAGCCGUUCCAGGAAAUAGCUCCAUCAUUAAGACCGUACCCGAAACCGACACAGGUGGGCAGGUAGAGAAUACCAAGGCGCUUGGGAGAAUGAUGUUGAAGGAACUCGGCAAAAUGCACCCGUAACUUCGGAAUAAGGGUGGCCUGUUCUGGGCAACCAGAAGCAGGUAGCAUUAAAUAGGGGGUAGCGACUGUUUAUUAAAAACAUAGGGCUCUGCAAAGUGGCAACACGACGUAUAGGGUCCGACGCCUGCCCGGUGCUGGAAGGUUAAGAGGAGUUGUGCAAGCAGCGAAUUGAAGCCCCAGUAAACGGCGGCCGUAACUAUAACGGUCCUAAGGUAGCGAAAUUCCUUGUCGGGUAAGUUCCGACCUGCACGAAUGGCGUAACGACUUCCCCGCUGUCUCCAACAUCAACUCAGCGAAAUUGAAUUCCCCGUGAAGAUGCGGGGUACCCGCGGUCAGACGGAAAGACCCCGUGCACCUUUACUACAGCUUUGCAGUGGCAUCAGGAAGCCGAUGUGCAGGAUAGGUGGGAGGCUUGGAACUUGUAGCGCAAGCUAUGAGGGAGCCAUCCUUGAGAUACCACCCUUCUGCUUUCUGUUGUCUAACCGAGAUCAGUUAUCCUGGUCCGGGACCCUGCAUGGUGGGUAGUUUGACUGGGGCGGUCGCCUCCUAAAUGGUAACGGAGGCGCGCGAUGGUAGGCUCAGAACGGCUGGAAAUCGUUCGACGAGUGCAAUGGCAUAAGCCUGCCUGACUGUGAGACUGACAGGUCGAACAGAGACGAAAGUCGGUCAUAGUGAUCCGGUGGCACUUCGUGGAAGGGCCAUCGC
rnacentral:rRNA from 1 species